UCCGAAUACCCUCAAAUUCUUGGAAGCUCUCUAAAGUUCUACCGAGUCUCUAGAAAAAUCUUUGAGUCACCGAGUCUCCACUCAUGAGCUCAGAGUACCCUACCAGUGGUGAUCCACCCAAAGAGUCUCUCAUAGUUCUAGACUGAGUGACAUCCCCUUGAGACUAUAUCUCUCCCAAACAUAGACCGUUCCUCUCUCCCACAAACUCAAGACUUCCACUCACAUGCACCGCUGAUUUGAUCUCAUCUCCUUCUACUUCUUUUAGAACUUCCUUUGUUCCAUCGAGGUAGACUAACGCGUCAGAGGGUCCUCACCAGAAAACCCUCGGCAAGCGGACUUCCUUUGCUUUUGGUGUUUCAGCAUACUCAAAGAGGUUGAAACAUAGUUUUGAACCUCUUCGAUAGCUUUCCGACUUUCAGCCAGCUCCUAGAGUCCCUAGGUUGCCACUUACCCCCUCUUAUCCUUAGCUUAAGCUCAUCGGCCUGAGCUAAAUCGAUCCUCGGUGGCAACAAAACCCAUACCCUUAGCCUAAGUGGCAGGGAGUAAUAUUAUUCGAGUGCUUGGUGGGAUAGGGUUUUUCCUUGAAAGAACACCAUCACAUAAGUUUAGGUUGAAGUUCUUGACCUUGAGAGGGCUUGUGUUUCACUUUGUGUAGGUUUCCUCCAUGCCCCACGCAGAACAACAAAAGACAACCUCCACUCGGUGAUAGUUGGACUAUAAUAGCAGAAUGACCUCCACAAUUGUGAGAUCUGUAUCUUAUCAUAUCCCAACAAGCUCAAGAACGUGCGAAACAGUUAUCCCCAACCUCCCUCGCAUGUUCUUAAUGCCUUGGGAUCCAACCCUCAUCUACAUAAACUCUUUCCUAGGGAACCUCUAGAUAAGUCCACACAAGUCGAAUCAAGUCUAGACAAGACUUCCUAAGCCUAAAUCCUUCCGAAUACCCUCAAAUUCUUGGAAGCUCUCUAAAGUUCUAUCGAGUCUCUAGAAAAAUCUUUGAGUCACCGAGUCUCCACUCAUGAGCUCAGAGUACCCUACCAGUGGUGAUCCACCCAAAGGGUCUCUCAUAGUUCUAGACUGAGUGACAUCCCCUUGAGACUAUAUCUCUCCUAAACAUAGACCGUUCCUCUCUCCCACAGACUCAAGACUUCCACUCACAUGCACCGUUGAUUUGAUCUCAUCUCCUUCUACUUCUUUUAGAACUUCCUUUGUUCCAUCGAGGUAGACUAAUGCAUCAGAGGGUCCUCACUAGAAAACCCUCGGCAAGCGGACUUCCUUUGCUUUUGGUGUUUCAGCAUGCUCAAAAAAGUUGAAACAUAGUUUUGGACCUCUCCGACAGCUUUCCGACUUUCAACCAGCUCCUAGAGUCCCUAGGUUGCCAAUUACCGCCUCUUAUCCUUAGCUUCAGCUCAUCGGCCUGAGCUAAAUCGACCCUCGGUGGCAACAAAACCCAUACCCCUAGCCUAAGUAGCAGGGAGUAAUAUUAUUCGAGUGCUUGGUGGGAUAGGGUUUCCCCUUGAAAGAACACCAUCACAUAAGUUUAGGUUGAAGUUCUUGACCUUGAGAGGGCUUGUGUUUCACUUUGUGUAGGUUUCCUCCAUGCCCCACACAAAACAACAAAAGACAACCUACAAAUCAACAAUAUUAGCUAUUUUAUUCAAAAGCAAAUUAAAGCAAAAUUCUGCCAAAAUAACCCCACUCCAACAACCAAGACUAGGAAUUUGAAAAUAAUACAUUAAACAAAAUAGAGAUAAGCAAAAUAGUGCAAAGCCCAAGGGUAAUGAAAGGAAACCAGAAAAAUCCUAUCUUGAUCUUAGCCAAGCUUAUCCCUUUAAAUAUAUAUAAGAAAGUCAUCCAAUAUGGACUGACUCCAAGAUAGAGCUUUGCAGGAAGCAAUAACCCCCAAUAUCACUCCAAAUGUCCCCAUCCCACAGUUUUCCCAAAUGCAGUUUUACAAGCAUGACCAUAAU
rnacentral:lncRNA from 1 species